rnacentral:rRNA from 1 species
ACAGCAGUCGCCACGGGAAAACGUAGGUGGCAAGCGUUGUCCGGAAUUAUUGGGCGUAAAGCGCGCGCAGGCGGAUCAGUCAGUCUGUCUUAAAAGUUCGGGGCUUAACCCCGUGAUGGGAUGGAAACUGCUGAUCUAGAGUAUCGGAGAGGAAAGUGGAAUUCCUAGUGUAGCGGUAAAAUGCGUAGAUAUUAGGAAGAACACCAGUGGCGAAGGCGACUUUCUGGACGAAAACUGACGCUGAGGCGCGAAAGCCAGGGGAGCGAACGGGAUUAGAUACCCCUGUAGUCCCUGUCUCUUAUACA